GGUAUGGCAUGAACUGCCUCAUUCAGUUUGAGGAUUUUGCUAAUGCUAAUGCAUUCCGCCUGCUGAAUAAGUACCGUAACAAAUACUGCACUUUCAACGAUGACAUUCAAGGAACUGGAUCUGGGCUGU